rnacentral:rRNA from 1 species
AUUGGACGCUGGCGGCAUGCUUUACACAUGCAAGUCGGACGGCAGCACAGAGAAGCUUGCUUCUUGGGUGGCGAGUGGCGAACGGGUGAGUAAUAUAUCGGAACGUACCGAGUAAUGGGGGAUAACUAAUCGAAAGAUUAGCUAAUACCGCAUAUUCUCUGAGGAGGAAAGCAGGGGACCUUCGGGCCUUGCGUUAUUCGAGCGGCCGAUAUCUGAUUAGCUAGUUGGUGGGGUAAAGGCCUACCAAGGCGACGAUCAGUAGCGGGUCUGAGAGGAUGAUCCGCCACACUGGGACUGAGACACGGCCCAGACUCCUACGGGAGGCAGCAGUGGGGAAUUUUGGACAAUGGGCGCAAGCCUGAUCCAGCCAUGCCGCGUGUCUGAAGAAGGCCUUCGGGUUGUAAAGGACUUUUGUCAGGGAAGAAAAGGCUGUUGCUAAUAUCGACAGCUGAUGACGGUACCUGAAGAAUAAGCACCGGCUAACUACGUG